rnacentral:rRNA from 1 species
ACUAGGAUUUGAUACCCUAUUAUAUUAAUUAAAAAAUAAAUUAUAAAUUAAAUGUAAAUCAUUAAAAUUAUAAGAUAUGGCGGUUAUAUAAAAUUUUAGGGGAACUUGUAUAUUAAUUCGAUAUUCCACGAUAAGAGUUACUAAUAAGAUUUAAAAUUAUUUUUGUAUUGUUGUUUAAAUGAUUUUGUAUAAAUAUUAGAAUUUAAAUUUUAUUAAAUUGUAAAAAUAAUUCAAAUCAAAAUAAAGUAUUUAUUAGAUAAUAUGAGUUACAUUAAUAAUAAAUUUUAUGAAUUAAUAUUUAUAAUAAUAUUUAUGAAAAAGGAUUUAAAAGUAAAAUUAAUAAAAUAAAUUAAUUUGAAUUUUAUUUAUAUAAUGUACAAAUUGCCCGUCAAUUUCAAUAAAAUUUGAAGUAAGUCGAAACAAAGUAAGAGUAUUGGAA